AGCUUUGCGCAGUGGCAGUAUCAUAGCCAAUGAGGUUUAUCCGAGGCGCGAUUAUUGUUAAUUAAAAAUAUAAAAAGACAUAAAGUGUGGCAUCAAUAACCUAAAAUGUGUAGAGGUAGAAGGAAAUGUCUAGAGUUUUACAUGCAAU